UUGAACGCUGGCGGCAGGCCUAACACCUGCAAGUCGAGCGGUAGAGAGAAGCUUGCUUCUCUUGAGAGCGGCGGACGGGUGAGUAAUGCCUAGGAAUCUGCCUGGUAGUGGGGGACAACGUUCGGAAACGGACGCUAAUACCGCAUACGUCCUACGGGAGAAAGCAGGGGACCUUCGGGCCUUGCGCUAUCAGAUGAGCCUAGGUCGGAUUAGCUAGUUGGUGGGGUAAUGGCUCACCAAGGCGACGAUCCGUAACUGGUCUGAGAGGAUGAUCAGUCACACUGGAACUGAGACACGGUCCAGACUCCUACGGGAGGCAGCAGUGGGGAAUAUUGGACAAUGGGCGAAAGCCUGAUCCAGCCAUGCCGCGUGUGUGAAGAAGGUCUUCGGAUUGUAAAGCACUUUAAGUUGGGAGGAAGGGCAGUAAAUUAAUACUUUGCUGUUUUGACGUUACCGACAGAAUAAGCACCGGCUAACUCUGUG
rnacentral:rRNA from 1 species